GAUCUUAACGGAGACCUUGCACCCGAGAGGGGGGAGGCGACUAUAAACAAGUCCCAGCGCAAGUCAGCACUAGCUGGCAACACAAUCGAACUGCGGGGACGCUUUAAAGCCCAGUGGUACCAACCCCCCGGUGACCGGAGGGGGCGGGCAUCGCCCGAGGUCAGAACCCACUGAGAUGUACAAUAAGCAAUCCGCAGCGGUCCGAUCGGACCGUUCACAGACUAAGUGGUUGUGGGGAGCCUGCUCCUUAAGAUAUAGUCGGGCCCGGCGGGCAGUCGCCGGGGGUUUUGCGUCCGUAGGUGAACCUGCGGAAGGAUCAUUACAAGUGAGGCCGCCGAACACCGGUCAAACGGUGGGGAGGCGGCUAACACCCACCCGUGUCUACAUACUCUUGUUGCUUUGGCGGGCCGUGGCCUCCACUGCGGGCUCUGCUCUGCUCGUGUGUGCCCGCCAGAGGACCAAACUCUGAAUGUUAGUGAUGUCUGAGUACUAUUUAAUAGUUAAAACUUUCAACAACGGAUCUCUUGGUUCUGGCAUCGAUGAAGAACGCAGCGAAAUGCGAUAAGUAAUGUGAAUUGCAGAAUUCAGUGAAUCAUCGAAUCUUUGAACGCACAUUGCGCCCUGUGGUAUUCCGCAGGGCAUGCCUGUUCGAGCGUCAUUUAACCACUCACGCCUGGCGUGGUGUUGGGGCACGCGGUCUCGCGGCCCUCGAAAGCAGUGGCGGCGCCGGUGGGCUCUAAGCGUAGUACAUACUCCCGCUAUAGAGUUCCCUCGGUGGCUCGCCAGAACCCCCUAAUUUUU
rnacentral:rRNA from 1 species